CCAACGUGUCAGACCUACUCUUUGUCUGAAGAGUUCAGUCCUGAAAUACAGCAGAAUUUGGCAAGUCUCUACCCAGACCUGUCAUAUGUCCUUUAGACUUCAGCAGUCAUAGAGACUGAAACAACUGCACUUUGGGUAUGGUUCCCUUCUGUGCUGCUCUAGAAAGAAAACAGAAUUCAGGAGGAUUGGCCAACCGGCCUGUAAUUACCCCUUAUGCUGGGAGAGGCUGCUAACACCACUUGGCUUCAGAUUUGGGAGCGUAAGUGCGCAUCUGGAAGAAGAGGACUGUCCUAGCUGAGGAAGCAUGUGGUCUCUGUGACUUGGCAACUUGUAUGUCAUCAGUUACAGAGUGAAUUACCACAGGUACAGAACUUCUUGGAAACCUGCUGUGGAAUGGAUACAGCACAUCUUGACAGGAAAGGUGGUGUGAACACAUCAUGGCUUUGGUAUUUGAUGCUCUGGGCAAAGACUGCAAGACCAGGAAAAAUAAUCACCUG